rnacentral:misc_RNA from 1 species
UCCAAUUUAUCACUGGCAGUCUUGCUAAAGUCCCCACCAUUACGUGCUGGCAACUAACAAUAAGGGUUGCGCUCGUUGCGGGACUUAACCCAACAUCUCACGACACGAGCUGACGACAACCAUGCACCACCUGUGCAACUGAUAACCUCCACUGUGUUUCUACAGCUUUGCAGAAGCAUGUCAAGACCUGGUGAGGUUUUUCGGGUACCUUCGAAUUAAACAACAUGAUCCACCGCUUGUGCGGAGUCCCGUCAAUUCCUUUAAGUUUCAUACUUGCGUACGUACUACUCAGGCGGAGUACUUAAUGUGUUAACUUCAACACUGGUUUUACCCAACAUUUAGUACUCAUCGUUUACGGCGUGGACUAC